GCUGGAAGAUCUGAAGACAGAAAACACAGUUCAGUCUGAUCAACUUUCUUUGAUGGAGUCCAGACUGACAGACGGACACAACAACACCACCGUUUUCUCUUUAGAGCUGGAGGUCAGACUGAGUGACAGUG